GUCUGAUGGUAAACUGUUACUCUAGACUUUGGUCGCCAACAACACUAGGGUUGUCACACCUAGUGGCAAACAACCGAAAUAAACUUAAGGUUUAGAUUAAGUCUAUGAACGAAAUGUGCCUUUCACGAAAUUAUCAGGAAAAUAUUUUAUACAACUUAGUAACAACAAACUGAGGGCCUACCCAAUGGAAUGUGGUAAACGUCAACUAUACACAUAAACUCCACCAAGGGCUUAACAGUUACUGUAAAACAAAAUAUGAUUCGAUUGAGUGCAGUUAUGUAUAAUAGCUAGUUAAGACUAUUGAUACAUAGAACAUUCAUUUGUUUUACAAACUGUGGAACGCAACGAAUACGUAUGUAAUCUAAAAACGUUACAACUUUUACGUUUAUUCGACUGCGUCAAAUCUAAAUCUAUUUUAUUAUCAAUCGGAUUUGCUUCCGUGACAAUUGUUGUUGUUUUAUUGUCAAUAUUGCAUCGUAAUCAGGGUAGAAACAGACGGAAAUCGUAUUAAGUCCCAAAGUAGGUUAUACCUAUAUCUACCCGUUAUUGAACAACUGAUCGAAAAUUCAAAACAAAGAUUAUAUAGACAGUUACUUGAUCACGUGAAUCGUUCUUAAUUGAUACACGCUCAAAUGAGAAUAUUUUAAUUAUACAAUUAUAAACAGACAAGAACUCUCGACUAUCUAGCCAGCUCGUCUAUUAAAAAAAAUAUACUAUUAGGGAGGUACACACAUUCAAACGGACCAAUCAAAAUACAUUAAACGAUCACGUUAUAUAAAUUAUAUCUAUUAUCUGACCCCAACGAAACCACGCAUUAGUUUGUUAAAUGUUAUUUACAUUCAUUAACGACUGAUCUGACCUGCGCAUGGGCAUCGUAUAUAGUGAUAUCGCUGUGACAAUUUCUUCAUAUCGCAUUCAGCGCUCUCAGUGUACGGACGUGUCAGUUCUGUGAUCUGUGAAACAAAAUGUAUACUAAUCCGUUUGAAAGGAAGCACUCGUCGCUAAGACAAACAUUGGAUCGGAUUAUAGUGGAGACGAGGCAGAGCAUCAAGAAGAAAAUCAACCUGACGAAGAACAAAACUAGCGGUAGCACGUCUUCCAUGUCUUCGACCUCAAGUUUUGAGUUCAAGAUGAAAUACAACCAGAAAAGAUGAAGUUUUUAACAGCAAUCAGGAUACCAUUCAUAGGAAUUGAUUGUUCCACUCUCGGAAAAGAUCGAGUGUUAUUAAUUAAUCGGCAGUGACGUCAAACGAACCGGUAUUGGAGCACACUGCGGCAUUAGGAAAUUAAAAACAUAAUCAAAUACACAUUUUGUUGGACCUCUAA